rnacentral:tRNA from 1 species
GCGAACGUGGCGGAACUGGCAGACGCGCCGGAUUUAGGAUCCGGUGGCUCCGUGCCGUGGGGGUUCGAGUCCCUCCGUUCGCA